CGCGUAGGUGGCUUGUCAGGUCUGAUGUGAAAACCUGGGGCUCAACUCCAGGCCUGCAUCGGAAACCGGCUUGCUAGAGUCUGGGAGAGGAGAGUGGAAUUCCUGGUGUAGCGGUGAAAUGCGUAGAUAUCAGGAGGAACACCGGUAGCGAAGGCGGCUCUCUGGAACAGUACUGACACUGAGGCGCGAAAGCUAGGGGAGCAAACA
rnacentral:rRNA from 1 species